GACGAACGCUGGCGGCGUGCUUAACACAUGCAAGUCGAACGGAAAGGCCCUGCUUUUGUGGGGUGCUCGAGUGGCGAACGGGUGAGUAACACGUGAGUAACCUGCCCUUGACUUUGGGAUAACUUCAGGAAACUGGGGCUAAUACCGGAUAGGAGCUCCUGCUGCAUGGUGGGGGUUGGAAAGUUUCGGCGGUUGGGGAUGGACUCGCGGCUUAUCAGCUUGUUGGUGGGGUAGUGGCUUACCAAGGCUUUGACGGGUAGCCGGCCUGAGAGGGUGACCGGCCACAUUGGGACUGAGAUACGGACCAGACUCCUACGGGAGGCAGCAGUAGGGAAUAUUGAACAAUGGGCGGGAGCCUGAUGCAGCAACGCCGCGGGCGGGAUGACGGCCUUCGGGUUGUAAACCGCUUUCGCCUGUGACGAAGCGUGAGUGACGGUAAUGGGUAAAGAAGCACCGGCUAACUACGUG
rnacentral:rRNA from 1 species